CCCCACGAUCUCCAAACCUCACCUCUAUGGAGUAAACGAAAAACCUAACUCACCACCUUUACUUCCAGAACGAACACAGAAGAAUCCCCGAUUUUCCGCCUCCUCACUGGCAUUAGCACCGGAAUCAGAUGAUCUAUUCCUCAUCUAACUCUCUCUGUAUCCUCCGUCACCCGUUCUUUAUGGAAGUUAGGAAAACCUAAAAUCCAUUUCCGCUGCUUCUGGAUCAUGGAAGUUUUUCUUUGUUUGUUCAGGGUUUAUAACGUGGAACUAGAUUUGAACCCAAAUGAUAUAAGUCUUAUUAUCGAUUUUUUUUCUCUUAUUUUUUUACUUACAUCACCAGAUUUGGUUUGAUUGAGUCUGUAUUGCGUUCAAUUUGGAAGUCAUUGCGUUUCCGAAUUUUCAUUAUUCAGCGUAAAUCGACAAAGUUCAGCAUUGAUUUGGGGAUCGGUCGAUCUUCAUUGAGAAUCGAAAUUGUUAGGGCUUCGAUUAUUCAAUUCUACGAACAAGAUGGAAACAAAUAUAGCUUAUGAUGUUGGUGCAAUGCAGAGACGCGGUGUUGCGAAAGCAGCUAAGCAUUUGGCAAUUUCUCAUAUUGUUCAACUCGUUGAGAGACGGGGUGGUGCGAAAGCAGCUAAGCAUUUGGCAAUUUCUCAUAUUGUUCAACUCGUUCAGAGGUUUGAACAAACUGAUGGUACCUCAUUUACGUCAUGACUGCCAAGUGUUGCCGGAUUGCCUGCUAAUAUAAAAGAAAUUAAGGAUGAGUUCAUCUUGUUGAUGAGCGUUUGCAUUUGUCUCUUUCUGAAUGAAGGACUCAUGCUGGUUGUUGCAACAAUUUGGUAAGAUAUAUGCUGGAGCAUUUUGGCUGUGAUUCGUACAGUUUGAUUCUUCACAAGACUAAACUUUGUGCUCCUGCACUUGCUCCAUUCAAGGCUUAUUACGAAGGUGAUGGUUUUCCCGAUGUGUUUGAUUUGUCAUUGUUGUCUCAUGUCAAGGUUCGUAAUCUUCACUCAAAUACCACUAUUAGGACCUUAAAGUUUAUUCAGCGUCAGUAGUCUGUCCAGUCUGAACUAACCCAAGAACAUCACCCUAAAAGUAUUGCUCAGCCAAGAACUCUUCUCCCUCUAACCAGAAUCCACCUCAUUUAUUUUGAUACUUCUUAUAUAGAGUCAAAUCGUACUAUUAGAAUUGGUAUAGUUCUUCUUGAUAAUGUAGGAAACUUCUGGGGUGCCAAAACAAUCCCAAGCACAUCAUGAGAUUCUUAACAUGUUGAAGUCAAGGCUCUUCUUGUGGCCGCACUAUGGGUUAACGUGCUGGAACUACAGUUUACUUCAAAGGGGACUGAAGCUAUCACCAACUCUGUCAAUGCUUCUAAGUCUAGUGUUAAGCGGACUACCAUCAUUCUGAAGAUGUAUGCUAUGCUAUCAAGUGUUCAAAUCACCAUAUUUAACUAUUGCUGUCAUAGUCGUCUCUGUCAUGUUUUUUAGAUUUUUAGUGUAGUUAAUGUUAGUAUUAUUCGAAAAAAAUAUUGUAUUGGUUUCUGUGCAUGUGCAGUGCAUGAGUCAAUUUGUUUUGUAACA